rnacentral:rRNA from 1 species
UGGGGAAUUUUGGACAAUGGACGCAAGUCUGAUCCAGCCAUGCCGCGUGCGGGAAGAAGGCCUUCGGGUUGUAAACCGCUUUUGUCAGGGAAGAAACGCUCUGGGUUGAUACCUCGGGGUAAUGACGGUACCUGAAGAAUAAGCACCGGCUAACUACGUGCCAGCAGCCGCGGUAAUACGUAGGGUGCAAGCGUUAAUCGGAAUUACUGGGCGUAAAGCGUGCGCAGGCGGUUAUGCAAGACAGAUGUGAAAUCCCCGGGCUCAACCUGGGAACUGCAUUUGUGACUGCAUAGCUGGAGUGCGGCAGAGGGGGAUGGAAUUCCGCGUGUAGCAGUGAAAUGCGUAGAUAUGCGGAGGAACACCGAUGGCGAAGGCAACCCCCUGGGCCUGCACUGACGCUCAUGCACGAAAGCGUGGGGAGCAAACA